rnacentral:lncRNA from 1 species
UUUAUACUGGAAGCCAGUGCUGGCUUGCAAAGUGCCUGGAGUGCUGGGAGCUGUGCUGCUACUUGCCUUACAGAUCCUGAUAAUAAAUUACCAGAGAAGGUACAGCUAUUGCUAACCAUAACAGCUUCUGGCACUUAAGUGAGUCACACUCACUUUUCAUCUCCAUUUUCUCUGCCUCCUACAAGCAGUAGUGUUUCUGAAGAAAGUAACUUACUACCAUUAUAUUUCACCAAAAUAAGUAAACAGUAUAAAUAAGAUGAAGUCACUGAAAGUAAAUAGAAACAUAUCUGUGUGAAUUUAUUGGGUAAGACAAGGUUCAGAGAUACUGUGAGAACAAGUCUAGAGAGGAGGUGGGAUGGAAGGCUGGAACUUAGGUGGAAAGACAGAGCCAGAACACCUGGAUGGGGGGGGACAGGAGACACUGGUGGCUGAAAGUUAGACUGGGUAAACGAGAGGCCUCUUGUAUGAAAGAACCAUAGUACAUAGGAAGAAAACAAAGAUACUUUUCCAUUAAGGGCUUAGCCUGAAGGUGGCUGCUUUGUGCUAGCUGCUUUCACGCAGCAAAUGAGCAAACCCAUCUAAUGAUACCACACAAGAUGGGAUUAUUCAGUGUUCAUCUUUCUGAAGGAAGAACUAAAUCAAAUGCUGAUCAGUAUUGCUCAGUGAGGGGACCUCUCUGGAGUCUGAAGUCCUUCCUGGAAUAUGGUCCAACCAUCAGUUAUUGGUUACUUCUGAACUUGAAAGGAAGUUGUAAGCAAGAGACGCAUAAAACUUCAGGAGUAAGUGAAACUCUGAAUGCUGUCAAUAAAACUAAAUAA